rnacentral:rRNA from 1 species
AGCUAAUAGAUACCCGGGUAGUCCACGCCCUAAACGAUGUCUACUAGUUGUUGGUGGAGUAAAAUCCAUGAGUAAACGCAGCUAAACGCGUGAAGUAGACCGCCUGGGGAGUACGGUCGCAAGAUUAAAAACUCAAAGGAAUUGACGGGGGCCCGCACAAGCGGUGGAUUAUGUGGAUUAAAUUCGGUGCAACGCGAAAAACCUUACCUGGCCUUGACAUGCCACUAACGAAGCAGAGAUGCAUUAGGUGCCCGUAAGGGAAAGUGGACACAGGUGCUGCAUGGCUGUCGUCAGCUCGUGUCGUGAGAUGUUGGGUUAAGUCCCGCAACGAGCGCAACCCUUGCCAUUAAUUGCCAUCAUUUAGUUGGGCACUUUAAUGGGACUGUCGGUGACAAACCGGAGGAAGGUGGGGAUGACGUCAAGUCCUCAUGGCCCUUAUGGCCAGGGCUUCACACGUAAUACAAUGGUCGGUACAGAGAGUUGCCAACCCGCGAGGGGAGCUAAUCUCAGAAAGCCGAUCGUAGUCCGGAUUGUUCU